rnacentral:rRNA from 1 species
AUAACUAAGCGGAGGAAAAGAAACUAACAAGGAUUCCCCCAGUAACGGCGAGUGAAGCGGGAAGAGCUCACGUUGUGAAUCUGGCCCUCGGGCCCGAACUGUACUCUGGAGAGGCGAGGCCAGCCGCUGUCCGCGGCCAAGUCUGAUUGGAAAUGAGCAUCAAGGAGGGUGACAAUCCCGUCCAUGCCGCGGUAUCGACCAGCGCGCGUCCGGCCCGCUUUCGACGAGUCGAGUUGCUUGGGAUUGCAGCUCAAAGAGGGUGGUAAACUCCAUCCAAAGCUAAACACGGGGGGGAGACCGAUAGCGAACAAGUACCGUGAGGGAAAGAUGCAAAGAACUUUGAAAAGAGAGUUAAAGAGUGCCUGAAAUUGCUGGAAGGGAAGCGAAGGAAAGAGGUGUGCGGUUGCCCGGGCGCCAACCCCUACCUGUCCGCAGGUGGGGGUAGGCCGCCCGGCCGCGGUCAGGGGUAGCGCUGGGCUCGGGGGAAGAGCCAUCGGGGAUCGGUAGGCGUGCCGCUUCGGCGGAGCGUUGUCAGGCCCCGUUGGUUGUUGCCCUGAGCCCGGCCCCCGUCUGGCGGUCGCGGCUUUUCUUCACCCCGUC